AGACAUACACACACAUACAGGUACAUAAACACACAUAUAUACACAUACACACAUAUACACACAUAUACAGGCACACACACACACACACACACACACACACACAGAAUGGUGGUACAUGCCUGUAACUCCAGUACUCAGGAAAUGGAAACAGAAAAAUCAGAAGUUUGAGGAUGUCCCUCCCCAGCUACAUAGCAAGGCCAAGCCAGCCUAGAUUAUGUGAAGCUGAGAGAGAUACGAAGGCAUACAGAGAGACAGAGAGAAGAAGAAGGAGGGGAGGAGAGAGGCCCCAGCCAGAUCGAUCUCCCUCCCAGCUACCUCUAUCCCAAGCCCUCAGCACCUCCUACCUGGGCCAAGGUGCCUUCUAGAAUGGUGGCCCUGGGGUCUGAAGUUGCAGCCGCAAGCUCUUGCCACAGUGGAGUCCAGAUGUUUCCUGGGGAGAUGCUAGGGGACGGAGAGAAGAAAUGGGAGCCAUGUGUGCUAACUAUGUCCAGGCAUCCCCAGCUCUAUGAGCCUCUAUGUCACUUUGAUCAGCUCACCAGUUGACACGGACACCAUAUCGACUCUCAUCCAAGGCCAAAGCUUUGGUCAUGGCAGUCACUGCCCCCUGCAGAGGCAGAGACCAAAGAGGGUUUAGUCUCUGAGAAUGAAGUCCCUCUCAGCCUCUUCUUCUAGGCAACAGCAGCAUUGGCUUCGACCACCUGGAAGAUACUACCUAUGCAUGGACUCUGUGUAGCUCAGUUUGUGACGGGUUGCCACAAUUCAAGACUAGAUGAGGAAUACAGUGGAAGACACUCUUGGGACAUCUGUGACCCCAGACUUGGGAGCUAAGACAGGUGGAUUGCCAUGCAAGCAGUGCUAACCUAGCUAAGCUACAGGCUGGGAUGCUCACACGAAAGCUAGAAGGUCCUCGCAAGGUGGUCCAGCAUUAAAGGGGCUUGCUGCCAAGCGGGACAACCCGGGUUUAGGCCCUGGGAUCCACUAAGCUGUCCUUGGAGCUACAUGUGUGCACAUAAAGAGAUACAUGUAGACACAUAUUAAAUAAAUAAAAAUGUAAUAAAAAUCAGUGCUGGAGAGAUGGUUCAGCAGUCAAGAGCACUGGCUGCUCUUCCAAGGGAAGCAGGUUUCAUUCCCAGCACCCCAGGAUGGCCCAGUUCUCAGUACCCCAGGAUGGCCCAGUUCUCAGUACCCCAGGAUAGCCCAGUUCUCAGUACCCCAAGAUGGCCCAGUACCAGGGAAUCAGAUUCCCUCUUCUGAAAUCAGCAUGAACCAGAAAGGCACCCAUAUGUCAGGCAAAACACUCACACACUUAAAAUAAACAUAAAUACAUACACUUUUUUAAAUGACUUUACUGCUCUGAGUUCAAGGCCAGCCUGGUCUACAUAGAGAGUUCCAGGACAGCCAGAGCUAUGCAGAGAAACUCUGUCUCAAAGAUUAUAAAAUAAAAUAAAUAAAAUUGACUGGUAAGGAUAAGGGGGUUUGGGCUGGAGAGAUGGCCCAGUGGGUGAGAGCACUGACUGCUCUUCCAGAGGUCCUGAGUUCAGUUCCCAGCAACCACAUGGUGGCUCAUAACCAUCUGUAAUGGGACCCGAUGCUUUCUUCUGGUGUGUCUGAAGACAGUGACAGUGUAUUUACACAUAAAAUAAACAAAUCUUUAAAAAAAAAAAGGAUAAGGGUGUUUUUUGCUGCUAAGCCCAGGUUCCUGAUUUGGUUCCUGAGACUCAUGUCUUAGGAGAGAGUUAACUCCUGAAAGUUGUUCUAUGACCACUAUCACACACACACACACACCACACACACACACACACACACACACCACACACACACACACACACACACACACACACAGAGAGAGAGAGAGAGAGAGAGAGAGAGAGAGAGUAAAAAAAAAUUAAUUAAAAAAGUGGAGGCAGAUUACAGGCUCAAAGCCGAGACCUUUCUGAGCAGCUCAGAAAGAUGGAGCCCCCUAGAGGCAGGAGGCAGGUGAGCGGUCAGAUGCCUCCCCUGAGGACCUCCAAAUGCCAGGUUCCACCCACAGCGGGACCUAGCCCAGCUCCUGCCCUACAGAGUAAAAAAGUCCAAACUCUGGACUUGAAAUCCACCAAUCCCCACCCCGGAAAGUGCCAUAACCACCACCACCCCCCAAGCACUGCAAGGAAUCCUAUCAAAAGCCUGCUUCUGCCCAGUUCUCUCCUGCCAGAGCAGAGGCAGACUCCUGACUGUCAGGAUAGCUCACCAUCCAAGCUGUAACACACCGACUGCCAGGACACCUUCCCCUCAGAGCUGGGACACUCACAAAAGGACAGGAGGAAGGAGAGGGGCUGGCCUACCUUGGUGGCCACAUAGGUUAGUGCCUGGGACUGGCCGAUGGCCCCGACCAGGCUGGAGAUGUUGAUGAUAUUUCCUUUACUCUUCCGAAGGUGGGGGAGGGCAAGCUGUGGAGAGGACAGGUCAGUCACCGGCAGCUGGUCCUGGAGGGCGGCCACCAGCAUCCUAAAGUGUGGGACUGCAACCUCUGCCCAGUGGGUCUCAAUGGGCACAGGCAUAGUAGUGGCACAUCUAUGGUAUGCCCCCUCCGCAAGGGAUAGCGCUCUCUCGCUCUCUCUCUCUCUCUCUCUCUCUCUCUCUCUCUCUCUCUCUCUCUCUCUCUCAUGCAAUUACACAUGCAUCUGUCUGUCUGCCUGUGUCUUUUCUCUCCCUUCAUCUGUUAUUCCGUUUCCAAGCCUGUCAAGCUAGGGAAACCUAAGCAUCACACAGAACCCUGCCUCUCUCGCCCAACUAGGAGGAAGGGUUUUAUUCAGCAGAGGGAGAUGGUAUGUCUGUAUUGUACGAAGAACUCUGUGGUCAUGACGUGAUGUGGGAAGCCUCGGGAUGUGUCCCACUUUCACCACCUUCUGCAGCUCUCCAGGGCCCCUCCUCCACAGGUGUGUUCAUUCCCGGCGUGACCUUCAUCAGCUCAGUCUGUUCUCCAUGGCUGUGGGCUCUAGAGCUAAGGAGGCACAGCCUAGUCUUCCCACGACACGUGACUGAGCACAAACUCGCUCCUGAGGAGGCUCCUAGAGCAGGAACCUGAGAGGAUCCCUACUGUAGCCACCCCGAAGCCUUCCACCCCAAAUGCAGCCUUCUCCCUUUUCUCCAUGUGGUCCGCGACCUCAGAGCCUCUUGCCUGGACCACCCCAUCCUGAGAAAGCCACACCGGUCACACAGUGCCCUCAGUUUGCCUUGGAGUAAGAGAUCCCUGGGGACUGUCAUGGGUUGUCACGUGCCCUCCAGUUCUGUAACUGAUAUUGCAAUAGUGAGAACAUCCCAGGUACAAGGGCGCCCUGCCCAUCGGGGCCCCUCUUCGCCUCUUAAGGGGGCUGGUGACAAUAAGUGUGACUGGAUCUCAGGAGGUCAAAAGCCAUAAACCCAUGAGAGGUUCAGAGGGCUGUGAAGUCUCUGAACCCAGCCCUGUAAGGGAGGGAGGCCCUCUGCUCUCCUCAGGGGAUGGGCUCACCCUUUCCCGCUUCACACACAGCCUUCCUUACACCCUGGAGCCCCGUUCCCACCCUCUACCUAAUGCCACCUGGCCUCAUGUCCUUGCCACCUUCCAUAAUGGCAGUCCCUCAUAGGCUCUGAUAUCUUCCUUGGCUAUUCUCUUCCCUGUACCAGGUGCAGAGCUCUCACUCAAUAAAUAUUUGCCCCUCUCCCCCGCCCCUUUCUGGGAUAUGUCCCUGGCUGACAGUCUCCCUGUGUGCCUCUAGGCAGCUCCAGAGGGCCCCAGCUUUUACCACCUACCCCAGCUGUCUGUCCUGUCUUAUUUAUUACUUGGUCGUUUAUCUACUUCUCACUCUGUUUUGUUCUGUUCUUGCUUACUUGCCUUCAUAUCUUUAUGUUAGUUUAUGUGCACCAGUGUUUUCCUUGCAUGUCUGUCUGUGAACCACAUGUGUGCAGUGCCUGUGCAGGGUAGAAGAGGGCAUCAGAUUCCCCAGAAACUAGGAUUCUGGGACUUGAACCCGGUUCCUCCUAAAGAGCAGCCAAUGCUGGGGCUGGGGAUUUAGCUCAGUGGUAGAGCGCUUACCUAGGAAGCGCAAGGCCCUGGGUUCGGUCCACAGCUCCGGAAAAAAAAGAACAAAAAAAAAAAAAAAAAGAGCAGCCAAUGCUCUCAACAGGUGGGCCAUCAGUCCAGCCUGUCUGCUUCUUAAAGAUAAGGUCUCUCACUGACUCUCUGAAGCCCAUCGACUCUCGUAGGCUGACUGUCGAGUCAGCUACUGGAACCCACCAGUCCCUGCUUUUCCAGCGCUGGCUGAGAUUACAAGCACAGACGCUGGGGUUCCAAACUCAAGCUCACACAGCCAGCACUUCGACCAACUGAAUGAGCUUCCAGCCCUUCAGGUAGGGGACACUCGGGCCAUUCCAACCAGCAGAUUCUCUCUUGAUUCCCACUUAUGAGCAUCUACUUCACUGUCUUCCUGAGGUAGAAAACAGGCACAUGAAAGAUCUCUGUGUCCCCACCCUCACCCCCAGGGCAUUCACUGUACCAAUCUGCUGAGGAGAACCCCCUCCUUCACUGCCUCAGCAUCCUUUUCUAAGGACCUUGUACAUGCUAGGGACACAGCCAGAGUGGUCAGCAAUCGCAUUCCUAGACAAGCCCAAGUGCUGGGAUUUAAGGAGUGAGCCCCCCCCAUCCAAACUCCAUGGUUCCUAUUGCUGACAGAAACAAGUCAGAGGGAAAGAUGUCUAUUUUCAUGGGGCUGAACUUCUAGGGAGAGGCUGGUCAGUGAGUGCAGCAUGGAACAUUCUAGAAUAUGAUUAGGAAGCUCCCAUCACUUUCUUGCUCAACCAUCUUCCUCAGCUCUCUAUUGUUCCUUUAGACACUGUAAUACCAUCUCCACCCAAUCCACACAUGCACACCUAUUGGCAGCAGCAACUAUUCUGUCUGUCUCAUAAGCCAUGACCGUCACACCGGCUUCCUUUCCUUUCUCUCUGUGUAGCCAAGGUUGACCUUGAGCUCCUGAUCUCCCUCCACUUCCUGAGUGCCGGGAUCACAGGUUGCACCAUCAUGCUUACUUAGUGCUGGAACUCCAGCUGCAUCCUGCUGAGCCCUAGCCACGACUUCCGGUUCUUUCUUCCUUUUUCUUUUUUUUUUUUUUUUAAGGCAGGGUUUCUCUGCGUGACCCUGGUUGUCCCGAAACUCUCUCUGUAGACCAAGCUAGCCUGGGACUCAGAGAUCUGCCUGCCUCCUGAGUGCUGGGGUUAAAGGCCUGUGCCACCACAGCCUAGUUCACUUUGGAUUCUCUUAGCAUCCUCUUUGCUACCUCCAAGCAGGCUGGAAAGCUCUGGAAGAUUGCGAGGAGGGUGUAACUUCCCAGGUGGAUGAAGACUGGCAGUGUCCUUCUAGAUCCUGAUUCUCCACCUUCCUGAUGCUGCCACCCUCCUGUCGUGGUGGUGACCCCCACCCCCAACCAUAAACUUAUCUCUGUCGCUACUUCACAACUGCAGGUAUGGAUCUCAGCGUAGAUAACCAUGCUUUCCGGUUGUCUUAGGCAAGCCCUGUGAAGGGAUCUUCAAUUCCCAAAGGGAAAUUGAACCUCGGAUUGAGAACCGCUAUACUGUAAUAAGGACAGGAAGCCAAGGGGCACAAAGCGAUGUGCUCCGGAUGAACUGAAGGGCACACAGCAACUGCAGCUCUGCCUGUCUCACCUUGAUCAAGGUGUAUGCCCCCAGGAGGUUCUCCUCCAGCAGCUGGCGGAAGCCCUGGGCAGAGGUCUCCUCUGGCAACUGUGCAGAAAACCACUUGAGCCCCACUGUCCACUGCCAACAGAAAGAGAACGAUGUUACCUGCCCUGCAGACUUGCGUCACUGCCUCUGCUGCCCUCUUGUGGCCACCAGAGCACCUGCCUCUCUGGCGGCUCUCGUGAUUGUCUCUCUCACAAGAUUGUCUCCACUCACAAGAGCAACAAAUUACCCUUCCUCAUUAAGCCACUGCUUGGCCCCCAUCCUGGAUUCUAGAAAAAUCCAAAACCUACAAACAAUAAAACACACAAAGCUAUCAUUUGCAGCUAGGGACCCAUCUGGGGAAGAACUUUUUUUUUUUUUUUUUUUUUUUUUUGGAUUUUUGAGAUAGAGUUGCUCUGUGUAGCCCUGGCUGUCCUGGAACUCACUCUCCUGGCUGGCCUCAAACUCAGAGAUCCACCUGCCUCUGCCUCCCAAGUGCUGGGAUUGUAGGCAUAUACCACCACUGCCAGGCCAGUGGAAGAACUUUUAAUGACCGACCUAUCAACAAAGACCCAACAAUCCAAAUGGAUUCAUGUAAGAAUGAAACGGAGGGACCAGAGAAAUGGCUCAGCGGUUAAGAGCACUGGCUGCUUUUCCAAAGGACACAGGUUCAGUUCCCACCGUCCACAUGGCAGCUCACAACUGUUUAUAACUCCGGUUAGGAGGGAUCUGACAACCUCACCCAGGUACAACGACAACGCACAGAGAAAAUUAAAAACAAACAAAUCAUUAAAGAAAUGAACCUGAGUCUCCUCCUCCCACUGUGGGAGCCUCUGCCAGCCGCUCUUUCUCUCCUACAAUUCAGGCAGCAGGCGGGAAGACCCUUACUCACCGAAGGCUCUCACGAUCGCAGCCCCGAUGCCCCGACUGCCCCCAGUCACCACCACCACCUUCCCAGAAUAUCGGCCUACUGCAGCCAUUCCCAGCUAUCUCGCUCGUGUCCCACACCCUCUGGGCCUCUUCCCACCUUUAAAGUCCAGAGAAGCGGGGGAGUGGAACCAGAUAUACAGGCUGGGUCACUGAAGGCUGACCCUGGCAGGGGGAGUUCCCAGGAAGGCACACCUAGGAGAACUGAGGACUCUCCUUCCUAGCCCUCUUUCUCAGACCCAGGGUCCCCACCCGUGAUGAUCCUCCUUCAGACCCAGGGAUCCCCAUCCUGACACUCCUCUUCCAGGCUCAGGGACCCCCACCCCAGCUCUGCCCCCUCAGACUGACUCUAGCCCUGCUCCCUUUGACUUGUAAGACCAGCACCACUUCUGCCUUGACUCAGGAUCCAGACUCCAACCUCCUCCCUCAGACCCAUAUUUUAAGAUGUAGCCCCCCAAUGUCCUGUGAAUCCAAGGCCCUGACGCUUGUUUGUCAGAACACAAUGUCACAACCACAGAGAGAAUAAAGCUAUUUAUUGACUA